rnacentral:rRNA from 1 species
UACGUAGGGUGCAAGCGUUGUCCGGAAUUAUUGGGCGUAAAGAGCUCGUAGGCGGUUUGUCGCGUUGUUCGUGAAAUGCCACAGCUUAACUGUGGGCGUGCGGGCGAUACGGGCAGACUGGAGUACUGCAGGGGAGACUGGAAUUCCUGGUGUAGCGGUGGAAUGCGCAGAUAUCAGGAGGAACACCGGUGGCGAAGGCGGGUCUCUGGGCAGUAACUGACGCUGAGGAGCGAAAGCGUGGGGAGCGAACAGG